GUGGCCGCCAUUUCCUGAACAUGACAUACAGGGGCCAUGAAAGACUCGGGUAACUCCAGCUAUCCCUGCCAACAUCUUGAAUAACCGGUGUUCUCACAUAAAGCGCUGUGUGAUAUCAAACCAACCAUGCUGAUGACGCAGCCAAGCGAUAACAACAACAAUCACGAGUGGGCACGCGGUUGAGAAGAGGAUGAGGGGCAGAUUUGCUAUCCAUGUGGCGACAUUUGUUCUACUCUGUGUUAUGAACUGGAGUCCCGCAUAUGGCGAGUCAAGAUGUAUCCAUCAUCUGACCGGUGAACGAGGACAUGUAAGCAGUAGCACAGAUGCCACGUCUGACCACUGUGAAUGGAACAUCCAGACCAACGAAAAUACGUUAAUAUUGAUCAAUUUUGAUAGAGGAAAUUACCGGCGAGGCUCUAACAACUGUAGCGCUGACGUUGUGUCAUUCCAUGAUGGAAUUUCAGCAAACAGCAAGAUCAUUGACUCAUUCUGUGGAGAUAGGAUAG